rnacentral:rRNA from 1 species
AUUGAACGCUGGCGGCAGGCUUAACACAUGCAAGUCGAGCGGGGUGAUGGUGCUUGCACUAUCACCUAGCGGCGGACGGGUGAGUAAUGCUUAGGAAUCUGCCUAUUAGUGGGGGACAACAUCUCGAAAGGGAUGCUAAUACCGCAUACGUCCUACGGGAGAAAGCAGGGGAUCACUUGUGACCUUGCGCUAAUAGAUGAGCCUAAGUCGGAUUAGCUAGUUGGUGGGGUAAAGGCCUACCAAGGCGACGAUCUGUAGCGGGUCUGAGAGGAUGAUCCGCCACACGGGGACUGAGACACGGCCCAGACUCCUACGGGAGGCAGCAGUGGGGAAUAUUGGACAAUGGGGGGAACCCUGAUCCAGCCAUGACGCGUGUGUGAAGAAGGCCUUAUGGUUGUAAAGCACUUUAAGCGAGGAGGAGGCUCUUUUGGUUAAUACCCAAGAUGAGUGGACGUUACUCGCAGAAUAAGCACCGGCUAACUCUGUGCCAGCCGCCGCAGUAA